GACGAACGCUGGCGGCGUGCUUAACACAUGCAAGUCGAACGGAGUGGCGAACGGGUGAGUAUUACGUGAGUAACCUGCCCUCAACUGUGGGAUAAGCCUGGGGAACUGGGUCUAAUACUGCAUAGUUGGGGAUGGGCUAUGGGCCUAUCAGCUCGUUGGGGGGGUGGUGGCCUACCAAGGCGGUGGCGGGUAGCCGGCCUGGGAGGGUGGUCGGCCACAUUGGACCGGAGAUACGGCCCAGGUUCCUACGGGAGGCAGAUGUGGGGGAUAUUGCACAAUGGGGGUAAGCCUGAUGCAGCGACGCCGCGUGAGGGAUGAAGGCUUUCGGGUUGUAAACCUCUUUCGGUACAGAACGGGUAUGUGCAGAAGAAGCGCCGGCUAACUACGUGCCAGCAGCCGCGGUAAUAC
rnacentral:rRNA from 1 species